rnacentral:misc_RNA from 1 species
AACGCACCUUGCACCUUUUGGUAUUCCGAAAGGUAUGCCUGUUUGAGUGUCUUGAAUAAUCAUUCCAAAGUCUUCUUUAGAAUGGAUUUGGGUGCUGCCUAAUUAGGCUCGCCUUGAAUGCCUUAGUGGACCUUGUAUGGGUUUAGAACGUCAUAAGUUUCGUUCUCAUCACAAUCAAGCCUGCUUCUAAUCCAAUCGUUUAAGACUAGACCUCAAAUCAGGUAGGACUACCCGCUGAACUUAA